AACAGUUUUUAUUGGGGCAGGGGGAGGCAAAGCCUUCAGUUCUCCUCCAGCUUCAGCCACUUCUGUUUGGUCUUGUACAGAUGGACCCCUGCUCUGAGCCUCCAUUUUCCACAUCUACUCCAUUGGACCAAAGAGUCCUACCUCACAGGAUGAUGGCCCUAUAUACCCUUGUCUUUCCCAGGAUGGCUUUGAGUCCCAGACUCUAAAGGUGCUGGUUCCUUCUUGGGUCACUCCUGCUGCUUACAAACCUAUGCCCUGUGGGUCUGGAUGCACCCAUAAUUGCCUUUCCUCUCUCCAGCAAGUUCUGAAAGCAUUAGAAAGAACCCAGGAGCCGUCCUCUGCCUGCACAUAGCAAGACAUACA